UCCGGCGGUGCAGGAUGAGCCCGCGGCCUAUCAGCUUGUUGGUGAGGUAACGGCUCACCAAGGCGACGACGGGUAGCCGGCCUGAGAGGGCGACCGGCCACACUGGGACUGAGACACGGCCCAGACUCCUACGGGAGGCAGCAGUGGGGAAUAUUGCACAAUGGGCGAAAGCCUGAUGCAGCGACGCCGCGUGAGGGAUGACGGCCUUCGGGUUGUAAACCUCUUUCAGCAGGGAAGAAGCGAAAGUGACGGUACCUGCAGAAGAAGCGCCGGCUAACUACGUGCCAGCAGCCGCGGUAAUACGUAGGGCGCAAGCGUUGUCCGGAAUUAUUGGGCGUAAAGAGCUCGUAGGCGGCUUGUCACGUCGGAUGUGAAAGCCCGGGGCUUAACCCCGGGUCUGCAUUCGAUACGGGCAGGCUAGAGUUCGGUAGGGGAGAUCGGAAUUCCUGGUGUAGCGGUGAAAUGCGCAGAUAUCAGGAGGAACACCGGUGGCGAAGGCGGAUCUCUGGGCCGAUACUGACGCUGAGGAGCGAAAGCGUGGG
rnacentral:rRNA from 1 species